UUCUAGCACUUCCUCCUGUCUUUCGGGUAAAAGAGCAGUGAGGGCCUCCAGGGAUCCAGGGAUAGCGGAAAUCCUGAAGCAGUUAUGGCUGUGACGAACCAGGUGCUUGAUUACUAUGGUUGCAGCUUUCCUGAUUUCGGCCUCACUAGGAUCCUUCCAGGUGAUCAUCUCUAAGAGUCUCUCCACAACUCCGGGCGUGGUACCAAUCCUCCGUUGCGUUUCUUCCAUUGAAUCUCCUUUUGAGACAAGAGCUGACAGUAUGUUGACGCUACCGAGCUGCUCUUCCCUUAUGCUUGACUGCAGCUUCUCGACGGUGAAAUCGAUAAGGUCCAUUCCCAGGCCAUCAAACACGCUUCCGUUCAGCGAUCGUGAGUACAAUGUGUACCAGUACUGCUUCAUGGUUUCAAUGUCGUCUUGAUCAAGCUCACAUGUUCGAGUGACUACUUCCAGCAACCUCUGGUAACGAAGCUUGAAUUCCCAAUAUGUUCUCUCCAGGAGGAAUAGCGACGUUUCUGCCAGCAUCAUCGCGUAAAACACAGUAAGUGCUUGCUCAGUGUUGUUUCCUUGGGCAUUGAAGCCGUGCUCGGCAAGUCGAUAUACUGAGAAACAUGCGGUGACUGUUGCAGAAGCAAGCUGGAGGAAGUACAUGAAAAGGCUGAUGAUCCUGGUGGGGAGGAACUUUACAUACGCGCUUCCCACGCACCAAAUUCUUCUGGCAGCGAAUCCCUGGUGUAAAUCUUUCUUUACUGGUUUUUUGGAAAGUCGAUCUCUACUCACGUUCUGUUCAGAGUGGUCAUGGUCCAAGACUCCAGAGAACUUCUCCCAUAAUCUGGCGCUCUUGUCGAACAGGAACGAUCUGAAGCCGAGAAUUCCCAAGCUGUAAUUUGCCUGCUGCCAUUCCAACUCGCUACUUCGACUGAAAACCCGCGUUCCUUCAGUCAGCAGCAAGGCCGAGAUCGUCCAAAAGUCUUUGGCCGGAAUGUUGCUCACGAAUCCACCGAGGAGAACAACAGUUGCCCAGACGAAGGCCAGUUUCCCGAGGCCAGUGGCGAACUUUUCAAGAACUGCGAGCCUGAAAGCUAUCAGAUUUAGCUGCUCUGGUGAUCGGGAAUUAUUCCUUUCCACUGGAGCUGAAGACUUUAAAAAAGUGGAAAGCUGCUGCAGCUCUGGAGCUGAAGGCUUGGGAGUGGAAGGCUGCUGCUCGACGUCCGGAUGUGGGACGACAACGCACUGGUAUUGAGGGUUCAAGUGCUUGAAGGUGGAGAAGCGAGAGCAGAGCCGGAAGAAGGAACUUGAAUGGUUACCUCGUCCGCAAAGUGAACGGUACUCUUGGGGGCACCGGCAGACUGUGCCCCUUGAAACUUUCUGCUGUUCCACGAAUCCAUGUUUAGUGUUCAAGGAGUUCUGGGCAUUCUGGGCAUUCUGGUGACCGUGGUAUUGACGACUUCAAAGCCGCUUGAAUGUCUUUCUCAUGUUGCUGGCAUAAGCAAGUAAGCUACUACUUUCGUUCUAUGAUAGCACGAGCCUUCCGAGCACUUCAAGCUACUCAUCACGAGCAAAUCUAUGAUAGCACGAGCCUUCUGAGCACUUCAAGCGACUCGUCACGAGCGAAUCAAUAAAAAACGAGUGCUUUGUUUGACAGUGCUGCAAGUUGCGACAAAGACACUGCAAACAUCAAGCUUGAGCGGAGUAUAUAAGGGAAUAGGGACGUUGUAACUAGCUACGACGCAAACAUGGCUUGUCUAGAGGGAAUCUAGCAACCACGACAAAAAAUCUUAGAGAAUGUAGAGACAAGGAGUGGAAUGAGAUUUGGGCGGAUCAAACCUGCGGCCUUUGGAAGCGUUCUCCAAGACCCUUCGCCGUGCUCGUUGACAUACUGCAUGAGGAGCGCGUCUUCUUCACGAGUCCAUGGACCCCUGUUGAGACCGAUUUUCUCGCAGCAAGGAGAUCGACCCAUCUGCAUGGCACCACCAACAAGGAUAAAGAAGAACAGAAACUAGAAAAUGCCUGUGGAAGCUUUGGGAAGAACACAGGAUGAAGUUCGACUGGGACGAGAAGAAUACGCUGGGUGUUAUAUACGAGAUGUUUGUUUUAAAUCAAUGUUUUCCGCUCUGCUGGUCUCUUGCAAAUGUUUCUAGUGAGAAAAGAACAAAGUUUGAAUCUUUUGACCCCUUAACGAAAGGAAGCUAGAGACUCGUAUAGAAAUCUAAAAAACCUGUGCCCGCCAUGCAAACAUCACUCCCUUUCUCGCUCGUUAAAUCGCGGUAGGAUCUAGAACAUGACCACUAUACUGUUGAUGACUAUCGCUACAGUAGGAUGGACUUUGUGGUAUAGCUUGGGCUGGUGCUCCACAGAAGCAGCACGAACUACACAGGUUGAAGAAAGAAAAAGUAGAGAAGAAAACGAUGAAGAAUCAAUGAAGAAGACGAAGAAAGGAGCUAAUUACUGCUGUCCGUGAAGAUGCGUGGAGAGAGCAACUUCAAAGAGCUAAAACUUUCACACGACAAACGGUCAGACGAGAAACUGGAGCACUAGUGCUGCGAUUCCAGAUCGAUCAAUGUUGUUUGACAACAAUGAUCUCACACACACACGACUGUUUUCUUCGUCUUGGUACCGCCCUUUCUACUGUUGCACAACAAACUAUCUCACAGCCAUGGAAGGGAAUAAUAGUAUAUAGAAACCUGUUGUAUCUCGUACUCUUGCUCUAUAAAUUCUCCAUAAACUUAAAGCUUCUUCUUCCAAAGUCGGCUUCAAACACACGGCAUGGCCAUCUUUUAGUGUGUACUGCGCAGAACUCUCCCUUUCAACCAGGUCAUAUAGUUUGCCACUUACUAGGCUUAGGUGGUGGGAAAGAAAAAACUGGAGUAUUCCUUCUCACAUAGUGAUGUUUCUAUCUUAUACUUAAGAACCUUGAGCUGGCUCGAGGAGUAGUACUACGAAGUGGUGUAACGAACGCAAAGCUUGGACAGGGCAGACUGCUACUGAACACUAUUGCCACUGCCACAAGCCUCAAAUUUGCAGGGCAAUUAAGUUUAACAUUUUGUAGGGCAAAUUUUCAUUUCCUUCUUGUGAAUAUUACAAUUGUCUUUCAUUGUGCAAGAUAAAAAUUAAUUUAUACCUCCCAAUAUAUAAAUAUUUAUCAACUAAUUCAAUCACACAAAAUCCUUUUUCCUUUUUUUGAUGCCAUGCAUCAUAAACAUGCCCCUAAUUGAUCUUGUUGUUGUCAUUAUCACCAUUUAAAUAGAUGAAUAUCAAAUCAUUUAAAGUUUCAAUCUUUAGAAAGAAUUUUGAAGUAGUUUUUAAUUGAUUUUGAUAAGAAAAUCCACCUUCAGCACAAAUAAUGCUCACAAGUAUCAAAGAGAUAAUUCCAUCAAAUUAGAAUAUAUAUCUGUUAUAGAAAUAUCAUCUUUGCAUAUUUGCCAAGCCACUAACCCAUUUUUUGUUAACAGAUUAUUUUGCAUAAUAGUUACAAACUUUGUGAGUUCUCUUUUACAUUUUUCCCUAUCAACAAAAGGACCAUAUUGGUUCAGAAAGAUAUUUAGCCAUUUAUAAGAGUUGUUAUCCAAGUUUUCCUUAUCAUUUGAGUAAUUCUUUGGGCUGAAAAUUUUUGUAGCAUUGAAUAUGCCUAUAUCCUUUCCCAUUCUGGCCAGCAUAUCAAUGUAUAAUUUCUAAAUACAUUCCUUGUUUAAAUCUAAGCAAAAGCUCAAGCUCUCAUCUCUUUUGCUUUCUGGAAUAGGAGUAUAAUUUAAGGCAUGUUUUUGUUAUUCCCCUUUAGCAUUUAUAAAUUUGAUAAAUUCAUCUUUAGUAGCCUCCACAAAAUUACUCAAGGGUUUCACAACAAGAGUCUCUUUCAGAAAUUUUAUUUUGAUAUUUUUUAAAGUACCAUCUAAGUACCAAACAAUGCUAGUAAUAUCCACAGUUUCAGCUUUGAAAGAUUUUAUUCAAAUUAUUCAAUUCCAGAAGUAUAUUAGGCAGCAUAUGAAUAGAUGAUCAAUCUCUUUAAUACUUCCCCAUGAAAUAACCAACGUACAUUGUGAAUUUGAAGCAUACCUAAUGUAAAUAUAUUCAUAGCAUCUUUUAGAGGCCUAAAAGCCAUGACUCUUUUUCUAGAAGUAUGCAACCAUCUAUAAAUUUGAUUGUAGAGCUUUUGAAGAAUCAUAAGCUUAGGAAAUGCAUGCACAACUUCAAUAGCCACUAAACUUUAUCUAUGUGCUAAGCAAUGCACUCUAAGCAAGUGUGGAAUGUUAUGUUUCAAUAUUGUCACUAGACUAAAUUGUUCUUCAACUAUAAUAAAAGCUCUAUUAGUUCCAAUAGCAACAAAUUUUCCCUUUUUAAAGUUCAUUUCUUCCAAAACCUUUUUGAUGGCUUCAUAUUUAUUUACAUCCUUUAAUUACCAUCAAUUUCAAAAAGCAAGUUUUAUUCAGACUUUUUUCUUUUUCUUGCAUAUGGAAAGAGAUGUAUAUGAUAAGAUGAACUUCCAAACUUCUAUCAAUAUUGUUAUCCACCAUAAUGGAAAAGUAAAGAUUAGCUUGAAUAUCUUGGUAAACAUCUUUCCAUCACAGAUCUUUUUUAUAAACUCUUUCCCACUCAUAACAUUCAUAUAAGUCCUAUACUCUAUGGUGAUUGGCAUAUAAGGCAUUAAAUUCACACAAAGAUUUAUAGCUUUGUAAAGGUAAUCCCUUAUUCACAAUGAAAUACAUGUGUUGCAUUAAGGAAAUCAAUUUAUUUUUGUGUUGAUAUUUUUUAGGAGUAAUAUAUUUAAGGAUAAAUAACCCUUUGCUUCCCAAAUAGCCAUAUGGCAUAGAAAAGCAAAUGGUGGAAAUGAAACAAGUUCUUUGCGAGCUAAGAAUUUCAUGUCCCUUGCCAUCAAGUUGUUGAGGAGCUCCUUUUGUGCCUCAGGACACUGACUAGUAGUUGAAGGAUGUACAAAAUGAGGCUGAUGAUCCUGGUCGGAAGAAAAUUUACGAACGGGAUGACUACCACAGACCAUGGCGUCAACUCCCUGGUAUAAAUCUUUCUUAAUUGAACUGUAACACUGUUAGAAUUCUGUGCAGGGUGCUGAUUAUGGUCAAAAGCCGCCUGCUUUCUGUCAAACACAAGCGAGCGGAUGUUGAGAGUAUUCAUGUAAUUUGCCUCCUGCCAGUCCAGCUCGCUACUUCCGCCAAGAACUUGGGUUCCCUCAGUCAACAGCAAGAUGGAAAUGUUCCAGAAGUCUUUCUUCUUGAUGUAGGUCACAAACUCGAGCGGUGGAUGAUAUCCUUUGAAAGGUUUUGCUGCUCCUGAAACUUCUUGUAUUUCACCUCUUCGUCGUUCUGAUUCUAAUAAUGUAACUUUUGUGACAGCGGAAAAGUACGAACUCUAUGCUUGGAAAGUUUCGAAACAGCGUAGUGGUGACCACAAUUUCAGAAAGGAGAUCUUCUAUGAAGUAAAGGAAGCUUUAUUUUUCAUGUUGAUUAAUGUUUUCUUUCCUAUUUAGAGUUCAGUUAGUGAAUUACAAUUGCGUAAGCGAAGUUGCUGAGAGUUCGGAUCUCCUAUGAAGUAAGCUUCUUCUUCUUUGGAUGUUAAUUGAAUUUUUUCUUUCUUUUUUAGAGUUUACGUGAGCAAGUUGCUGAAACUGAAUUUGUAUUUUAUUCUUGACAGCAUGACACAUUCGAGGCUCUUUUUUUUUGGAAAAGGUGAAGCUACAGCCUAUGUAAGUUCAAUAGGGCGCUGUUGACGAGCUCCUCGAGGCUGCUGGAAUGCUUGGUAAGUCCCACAAAACCCGAAAACGUUAAGAAGUUUUCUUCGUCUGAGGCAGUCGCUAACAUUGCUUCCAGGGACGCCUCCAUUUCACCGUCUUCUCUAAAACGUCGCAAGAACCUGGCGUCCUUUGCCACCAAGCUGUUCAGAAGCUCUACGCUAUAUCGCCGGAUACGAUUCAAGCUCCUAGAAGGUGCUGUGUGGGAUAGAAGCUCUGUGAAUUUUUCGCAAAGCCGUGAUUGUUGCGAUAGCACGCCUUGUUCAAAGUUCCGUCUGUCGAGCCAGGGGAUUAUGGCUGCUGCCAAACCGAUGGCUGCCUGCUGUUCCUUGUCCGUGGAUUCCAGCACCAUCUGGAUGAUGCGAGAUAUGGCUGCUCCAAGCUCCAACUUUUCUUCGUCGUUAAGGUCACCGCACAAGCUUUGCAAAAUUGUGGCUGCAUGGACUCCAACUGGCUUGGUGAGCAUGUUGAUCAAGCUCUUGAGGGUCUUGCUAACGCCACCUUGUCUGCAGCUUUUGUGCAUGAGGAGCCUCGAGCAAUUGUUGGGACACUGGAAAACGAGCACAAUUAUGGCUUCCCCGGCUCUCAUGGCGAUGGUCAACUGGUCGCUGUUCGGUGCGGUUUCUCUCGUAAAUAUGGCCAUCAAGCUUUGGAUAACUCCUCCAGUCGCACCAAUGCAAUCUCUAAGCUCGUCCUCGGUUGCUAGCAGCUUGAUCACGUCGACUGCCAGGUCUUGUAGCUCCAAAUCUUCGAGAUUGCAUAUCCUUUGAAGACUUCUUACUGCUGGCACUACCGACACCAUCUUCUUUCGCAGAGACCGUCCAGAAUCUCCUCGCACGCUAGCCAAUGUCUUCAAAAGAUCGAGUGAUUGACGGAAUACUUCUUUCGACGUUUCUUCGUCUUGGAUAAAUUCAACCAGGAUGGAGAUAAGUCCGCUGGUGUUACCGAUUCGCACGCAUAUCCUGUGGUCCACGGCUAGCCCGUUGAGGAUAGUGAGUCUGUAGCUCUUUUCUUCUAGCACUUCCUCCUCUCUUGCGGCUAAAAGAGAAGUGAUGGCCUCCAGGGAUCCAGGGAUAGCGGAAAUCCUGAAGCAGUUAUGGCUGUGACGAACCAGGUGCUUGAUUACUAUCGUUGCAGCUUUCCUGAUUUCGGCCUCACUAGGAUCCUUCCAGGUGAUCAUCUCUAAGAGUCUCUCCACAACUCCGGGCGUGGUACCAAUCCUCCGUUGCGUUUCUUCCAUUGAAUCUCCUUUUGAGACAAGAGCUGACAGUAUGUUGACGCUACCGAGCUGCUCUUCCCUUAUGCUUGACUGCAGCUUCUCGACGGUGAAAUCGAUAAGGUCCAUUCCCAGGCCAUCAAACACGCUUCCGUUCAGCGAUCGUGAGUACAAUGUGUACCAGUACUGCUUCAUGGUUUCAAUGUCGUCUUGAUCAAGCUCACACGUUCGAGUGACUACUUCCA
rnacentral:lncRNA from 1 species